AAUCCAUGCAUAGGACACUUCCACAUAAAAUCUUUAAACCUUUCUCAUGCUUCAUGCAAGCUUUCAUCGUACAUCUGCUUGAAUGAAGUUAAGUCGUUUUGAAGCUU